GACCACGGACAGUACCUGGGCAGUUCAGCAUUAGUGAUAAGAGGUGUCGACGAUGUCGGGACUCUGGAAGCGAUCGCAUGCCGGGAAGCGAUGUCGUUGGCUGAAGACUUGCACAUCCAUGAUUUCAUCAUAGCUUCAGAUUCCCAACAGGUGGUCAAUGAUAUUAACAAGGGUUAUAUGGGUAGAUAUGGUGCGAUCUUGACAGAGAUUGGCCUGAGAGCCUCUGCGUUUAAUUGUAAAUUUGUGUUUGAGGGGCGGGCGUCGAAUGGUGACGCUCACAAGAUAGCUAGAUCAGCUCUUUCUCUUCAGCAGGGGCGCCAUGUAUGGCUUGUUAAUCCCCAUGCAAACUGUAUUCCACAAACUGUGGCUUUUGAUUAA
rnacentral:rRNA from 1 species